CACGUAGGGCGCGAGCGUUGUCCGGAAUUAUUGGGCGUAAAGAGCUCGUAGGCGGCCUGUUGCGUCCGCUGUGAAAGCCCGGGGCUUAACCCCGGGUCUGCAGUGGAUACGGGCAGGCUAGAGGUAGGUAGGGGAGAAUGGAAUUCCCGGUGUAGCGGUGAAAUGCGCAGAUAUCAGGAGGAACACCGAUGGCGAAGGCAGAUCUCUGGGCCGUAACUGACGCUGAGGAGCGAAAGCGUGGGGAGCGAACAGG
rnacentral:rRNA from 1 species